rnacentral:rRNA from 1 species
AAUGCUGACAUGAGUAACGAUAAGGGGGGUGAAAAACCUCCCCGCCGGAAGACUAAGGGUUCCUGUCCAAUGCUAAUCAGGGCAGGGUUAGUCGGCCCCUAAGGCGAGGCUGAGAAGCGUAGUCGAUGGGAAACGGAUUAAUAUUUCCGUACUUGUAAUUACUGCGAUGGGGGGACGGAGAAGGCUAAUCGAUCCAGGCGUUGGUUGUCCUGGUUUAAGGUUGUAGGCUGAGUACUUAGGCAAAUCCGGGUACUUAAGGCUGAGAACUGAUGACGGUGAAACUACGGUUUCCGAAGUCGAUGAUGCCCUGCUUCCAAGAAAAGCCUCUAAGCUUCAGGUAAUUACGAACCGUACCCUAAACCGACACAGGUGGUCAGG